GAUGAAGAACGCAGCGAAAUGCGAUAAGUAAUGUGAAUUGCAGAAUUCAGUGAAUCAUCGAAUCUUUGAACGCACCUUGCACCCUUUGGCAUUCCGAAGGGUAUGCUCGUUUGAGUGUCAUUGUACUCUCACACUCUCCGAUCCUAUGGAUUCGGGGAGCGGUGGACUUGGGUGUUGCUGCCUUUCCCUGUGGCUCACCUCAAAUGCGUCAGUGCACCUCUUGGUUGGACAUAGUACGGCGUGAUAAGUGUCUUCGCCGGCAGCUCGCAAGAGGGUGGCCGAUCGGGAGCUCUGCGCUUUCAAACCGUCUUCGGACAAUUUCUGACAUCUUGACCUCAAAUCGAGUAGGACUACCCGCUGAACUUAAGCAUAUCAAUAAGCGGAGGA
rnacentral:misc_RNA from 1 species